GACGAAGGGGGCUAGCGUUGUUCGGAAUUACUGGGCGUAAAGCGCGAUGUAGGCGGUUGUCCAAGUUGGAUGUGAAAGCCUUGAGCUUAACUCAAGAAAUGCAUUCAGGACUGGAUGACUAGAGGACCGGAGAGGAUAGUGGAAUUCCCAGUGUAGUGGUGAAAAUACGUAGAGAUUGGGAAGAACACCAGUGGCGAAGGCG
rnacentral:rRNA from 1 species